GUUUGACUGGGGCGGUCUCCUCCCAAAGAGUAACGGAGGAGCACGAAGGUGGGCUAAACACGGUUGGACAUCGUGUGGUUAGUGCAAUGGCAUAAGCCCGCUUGACUGCGAGAAUGACAAUUCGAGCAGGUGCGAAAGCAGGUCAUAGUGAUCCGGUGGUUCUGAAUGGAAGGGCCAUCGCUCAACGGAUAAAAGGUACUCCGGGGAUAACAGGCUGAUACCGCCCAAGAGUUCAUAUCGACGGCGGUGUUUGGCACCUCGAUGUCGGCUCAUCACAUCCUGGGGCUGAAGUCGGUCCCAAGGGUAUGGCUGUUCGCCAUUUAAAGUGGUACGCGAGCUGGGUUUAGAACGUCGUGAGACAGUUCGGUCCCUAUCUGCCGUGGGCGUUGGAAAAUUGAAAGGGGCUGCUCCUAGUACGAGAGGACCGGAGUGGACGAACCUCUGGUGUUCGGGUUGUCAUGCCAAUGGCAUUGCCCGGUACCUAAGUUCGGAAUCGAUAACCGCUGAAAGCAUCUAAGCGGGAAGCGAGCCUUGAGAUGAGUUUUCCCUGACGCUAUAAGCGUCCUAAAGGGUUGUCGUAGACUACGACGUUGAUAGGCAGGGUGUGUAAGUGCUGCGAGGCAUUGAGCUAACCUGUACUAAUUGCCCGUGAGGCUUAACCAUACAACACCCAAGGGGUUU
rnacentral:rRNA from 1 species